UUAGUAGCGAAAUUACAUGAAAUUACAGUGAUUGCUAGAGAAAAUUUGAUCGAUUCAAAAAUAAAAUCAAAAGAAUAUUAUGAUCGGUACGUAAAUCCAAUAGAACUAAAAAUUGGCGAAAAAGUAUGGCUAAUCAAAAAACCAAAACCAGGAAAAUUCGAAAAGAAUCAUAACAUUAUAUGAUAUAAUAAAAGUAAAUGAAAAUAGUAACGUAACUAUAAAUUACAAUGGGAAACCAAAAACAGUUCAUGUAAAUAAAUGAAGCCGGUGCCAUACAUGAUUCUAAAAUAUAUUUCUUCUAGGAAACUUGGACACAAUGAUUCCUGAAAUGAUUUUAAUUUUUGCAAUUCUUAAAACAAGUCAAGCUAUAGCAGGAUUCGAUUGCGGGGCAUCUGAUCCAUCAUCACCAACAAGAAGAGGUAAACGCGACCAACGCCACCAUACAACUACUACAACUGGCAGAAUUUAGAAAAAGUGGCCAGUGUUGUUGUAAAUGACUUGGGUGAAAGCAGACAUUGUAAUGGAAGCAGUACCAAAAUUGCAGCUACUGUUGUCAAAGAGAUACGCAAAUUGGUUCAGACUGCGAUGCCUUUUGAAGAAUUCAUAUUGUGACAAACAAUGCCAGCAUUAUGAGAGAAAUCCUUCAUUCGAAUGAGCAAAAUAGAUCAACAGAUCCACCUUUAUAAGAUAGAUUGUAUCCGGCACCAAGAGUCAGUAGUACAUUUUUUUAAUCCAGAUUUUUUAAGAUAACCGCAAAAAUUCUACGAUACAUAUAAAUCCAGCUGCAAAAGCACUAGAAAUUUCAAUGGGUUAUGGCUUAAGUAUGAUGGUACACAAAUUUCAAAGAGGGUAUCAAAAUUGCAAAAAAAUGAAGCGUAUAUUCAAGUAGCUCUGGCAUUAUACGCUGAGUAUGAUAAUUCAAAUAAAUAAGUAAGAAAUGUAUAUAGAUUGAACUGUUAAUUUUAUAGUGUAUGAAAAAAUAUAAAUGUAAAAAGAAGUGAUGAAUAGAAACUUUUUUGAGAUUUUAUGUCCAUUGAUCUGUUCUCUCUUUAUCACAACUUUCAAUACAAUAAAUGUUCAGAGGUAGUGAGUAAUGUAACACUAUGACAAUCUUAAUUUACCAAUGAAAACUGUUAAUACAUGUAAAACCAUUAUCAAGUAUUGGAAUAAAAUGAACACGUAAAUUAAAAAUUUUGUACUUA